rnacentral:rRNA from 1 species
UUAUAUUUAGGAACAGAAGAAUGGCUGCAGGACACGGGGAACGAUUGGCUCUUGAACAUUCUGGCGAACUGUGAUGAUUCGAUGCGUGAUUGCACAAUAAUGUUGAUCUGGAGAAUUUGGUCAUUGAGGUCAGACCUGGCUCACGGGAAGGAUAUUCCAUCCGUGGUGGCAACGGCUGAAUAUCUUCAGAGUUAUAUGAAGUCGAUACAUGUGAGCAGGAGGUUCACAACGGAGGAGAUUAUCAAGGGAAAGAUGCCAAUGGUUCAUGAUACGCCUGUCGAGCAGCGGGUUACGGCCCCUUCACUGCCAUGGCCGAACCCACCUGCGGACUGGGCUGCGCUAUCUGUCGACGGAGUGUUCUCACCUUCUGAUGGCUCGGCGGCGGCGGGAAUGAUACUGCGCAGGCAGGAUGGCAGCGUGAUAUUUGCUGCCUACCGUUGCAUCUUCAACUGCAAUGAUGCUUUGGAGGCGGAACUACAUGCGAUAAUGCAGGGCAUGGCACUCACUAUUCAGCACUGUUCCCUACCGAUCAUCGUUCAGUCUGAUUCUAUGGAGGCACUAGCAGCUAUGAAGGGGGAAAGUCUAAUCAGAUCGGCGUAUGGCCAUCUAGUAGCGGAGAUUCGGCAUCACAUGUUGGAGCGGGAGUUUAUUCCGUCUAAAAUUAAACAGGAACAAAAUAGGGUAGCACAUCGUUUGGCAUUGUAUAGCCGUACGGAGAGCACUACUGCUGUAUGGCUUGGUAGA